AAGAUUUUAAGUUAAUAAUAAACUAUUAACCUUCAAAGUUAAAAAUAUUUAUAUUUGAUAAAUCUUA
rnacentral:tRNA from 1 species